CGGGCGCGCGAGGCAGCUCAAUGGGGGGGAAGGAGGCGCCGCCAUUUCCUGUCCCCCCUCACAGUCUUGACCCGGGCAGGCGCCAUGAGGGGACACACCGGGGCAGCUGCCAUUGAGAUGCAAAUGGAGUCAAUGCCUGGCACCAUCGCCCGCCCUCCCCCUUAUGGUGCCCUGAAAGAGGAGGUAUGAGGGGAGAAAAACCUGUAUUAUCUCCACCUUCCCCUCAUCACCUCUGCUUUCGCCUCACAGCGAGGGGCACUCCCCGCAUGAGAUGAGCUCAGACCUCCAGACAGAAAGUGGGCAAAGAAUUAGCAAAAUGCAGACAGUGUCUCCAUUUUCUAUUAUCUCGAUAUCAAUAUCUUUACUAUUGUCAUCAUCUUCUAAGAACUGGGAUAAAAAAAAAAAAGAAAAAUCUAAGGCUGGCAGCUGGUCCGGCACACCUACACAGUGCCAGCGCUCCAUUUCAGCCUCAGGAGGCAUUGGCGACGUGAAAAUGUUUUUUCCAACAGAUGUUAGUAGACUUACAAUCACCUCACUCAACUUCACACAGAUAAAAAUCUCAUACCCAGAGUGGCACAUUAGACCUUACUGCCACAAAAGGAAGUUUUAUUAUGGAAGCAAACAGCCCUAAAAAAAAACCCCAAACCACAAUUCAAACAUCCAGAGAUCAUCACUUAGUGUUGCAUAAUGUCCACUGUUGAAGCCUGUGAUAUUGGUUUGUGUCCCCAGUGACUCACAGCAUCAUUUCAAACCAAUUAGUAUGUCAGGAGCUGUUUUAUGUGAGAUAUCAGCGAUUUUCACCAUCUUUCUUACUUCUUUUCCCUUCCCCACCCACAUAGCAAUCUUAUGUGUUUGUUUCACACAAACCCCAUUUUUCUUCAGGUCACUCUGAAGAAGAUGCUGUUUUGACAGCAUCAUGCAUUUUCCCUCUUGCAAAUCCAUGGAAGCCCUGCCUAAGAAAGUGAUAAAUGGUCAGAAAGAGACCCUCACCCUCACUCUAAUUAGAAGCCUUUGCUGUUUAGCAGGGUUUCAAGAGGACAGAAGCCCGAGGCAGCUGGAUGGGAAUACAAACCAUACCAUGCUCCAGCAGCUUUCUCAUAUUCAUCCAGUGACUGAGAUCCAUCUGUUUAUCAUCAGCUGCAAUACAGUCAGAGACAAAGUGCAUUGUUAAUAGGGUGUGUUUGAGAGAAAAGUCAUAAGAAAGUGCCCUAAACUAAGUGAUUUCUGAAAGUAAUGGCUAUGGAGUGCAUACCACACAGUAGCACUGUGCUAAUGGAUAUUUUUCUUCAGUCAUUGCUAUUAACUCUGUAGUAUUGCUGGCAAGAUUCAAAAAUUAAAUAGAAGGGGUGGCAAAGCACCUUCGCUAGAUAAGAUAUUCUAGUUCCUAACUAAUUCUAAUUUUGAUUCCUUUUUCUUGUAAGGAAAAUAAGAUUUGCCAUACGUUAUCAGAACAAGAGUUCCUUUUGGCCAUAAGCUCGUCCCUGACAGUAACCUUGGACAAUGCAGUGGACAAGAAGGCAAUGGCCACCUAAAAUAAAUUUAUUUUUUUUUUUUAAAUUAACAACAAUGUAAGAGGAUGUCAGAGUUCUUCAUACAGUCACCUACCUUCAUAGAGCUACUUGGACUUGUAUUGAUUACACAUGGUGCCACUUGGGGAUGGAAUGAAAAGCUGGACACUGGAGAAACAGAAGCACAGUAAUGAGGAGAGGCUAUGAAGCAUGCAAAAUGCAAUUGAAUCAGUAGAAGGCUUUCAGUUAACUCUUCCUGAAGCCUCCAAAACUCAGAAAUAGAGACAUCUUGCAAGCAACACACGCUUCAGUUUAAAAUCAAAGGUUAUAGGGUGGAUUUUUUUUUCCUGUUGCCCUUGUUUCAGCUUUCAGAAAUUUAAUGACAUUCUACACUAUCAAAGCAUUCAUUCAUCAUCUUGAUUUCUUGCCCCUCCCAUUGUAAACUCUAUUUUACUACCUUUUGCUCACUUACAUACAGUCACUGUUCUUAGUAGGCUCACAGAAGAUUGUCUGGAGGCAAAUAGACACUCCAGUAACUCAAGCAGAUUAGUUCAUCUGGUGCCUGAGAUUUUAUAUGUAUGCUUGUUUUAUAAAAGUUUGUGCACUUAUUUCAUAAAAGAUAACUAUCUUAAAAAAUUAGCAGUUUUCUUUCUUAUACAAAUAAAAUAUGACUUUGCUUGCUAAUACAAGUUGGAAUAUCUGAGUUUGGAAUCUGGAUAGAAAUGAAAGCUCAGACUGGAUCUUUUCCAACAGGAUCUAAACCCGGAAGAAUUCCAGUAGUCUCAUGAUACAGUGAGGAGUUAUAUAACACUUGCCAUUGCUAUGUAGUUAUUUCUAAAGAUGAUGUCACACUUUGCUCUUCUGUGGUUCUUUUCUCUCUGUGAGGUGAUCUCUGCAGCAGAUUCAGGCUGCUCUUUGUUGUUGGAAUGGGUGAGCCCAGCAAGAGAACCACUUUAUUUCAUGCAUUCAUGAAGUUUAACUAUUGUGCCACCUAAGAUCCCGUAGUCUGCUGUACAAGAGGCCAUUUAAUUGCUGUUACCUCUCUGCUCAUCCCUGCAGCUUGCAUUUGGUUUAAGCAUUGCUUCCAAGUAGGGCUGCGUAAAUCAAGAGCUGGGGAAUUUAUCCCUUUGCUUGGUAGUUUAUUAUAAUGGUUAUUAAACGUCACUGCUAAAGAUACAUGCCUGUACUCUGAGAUUUCUGGUUUCAAGCUCAGUCUUGUGACUUAUCCUGCUAAAUUACAGAGUCCUUUAGUACAGAUUUCCUCUCCAAAAAGGUGUUUAAGUGCUGCAAUCAAGUCGCUCCUCAACCUUUCUUUGUGAUAAGCUAAAUAGGUUGAAUUCUUGAUCUCUUUCUCUGCAUGCAAAACACAAGCCUUUAAAGAUGUGGCAGGGCCAAGAAAGGGGGCUUUAAGCUCUCUCCCAUUACAACAGUCUUGACACUUUUCCCUUUAGUUUCCACUGGAAUUGCCACCGAAACCACCAUUAAAUGGCAAUGCACUUCAGAUUAAAGGAAAUAAUCUCUCAUUUAGUUUGUAUUGCAGACGACUUUGGGAGGAAAAGCACAUUCUGACAGCUGUUUCCAUUUCAUUGUGCUUUUUGUUUUUGAAAAAGAGAAGACCAUUUGUUUUCAAUUUGUCUAUAAAUAAUAGAGGAAAACACAGCUGAGGGGCCCAGUGUGAUUUUUAUAGAACGUUCAUUUUUAGAAAUCUGAUAAGCUUAACCGCAUAUGUUUGAAGUAACAUAAAAUAUAGAAAUUUUAAAAAAAGACCCUACUUGUCAUGCAAUCACUUAUUUAUUUUAUCUAGUACUUAAGCAGCAUUUGUCAAACAUUGUGUGUUGGGGGCAACUUUGGACCUAAAUUCUGAACACAUGAAGAAAUAUCUCGCAGGUGGAAUGAACAGAUUGACACUUAGCCUUUAUGAGGUCAGAACUGUGGAGUUUUUUCCCCGAGGUUGAGAGUGACCUCACAAGGCAGCAUGACAAUUAAUUAGCUCCUGUUUAUCCCAGUGAGUCAGGAAGGCAAUGGACUGCACCUCAAUUUCACUCAAGCUGCGUUGAUACAGGUCACACCUAGCAGGUUACCAGAGCCAUCAGUGAUAUCUGAUGCUCAGCCCCUCUGCUAGUGUAGAGAUAAACACAUGGAGCAUGAUGAAACAAGACCUUUCACAAAGGAAUCUCUGCCCUGCUCUCAGUGGACUGUCUUGACUGCACUUGCUUAGACAUCAGCCAAAAGUAACUUCACUGAAACCCACGGGGAGCGUUUCAGCAAAGUGCUUUAGGGCAGGUGGCUGCCUAAAGACCUCAGCUUUAGCCCCCAGUGAUUUAGAAGCACUGAAUUUAAAACCACCCCCCAUGGUCUCCGUGUUUGUAAUAUAUUGAUUCACAGUGCCCACAUACACACCCUGGGAGGACAUGACAGAUUUGUUCCCGUCAUCUUUCACCACUCCUUAAGGAAAAUAUGUAACCAGCAUCCCACCUGUCACAUACUGAGUCACCUCCCAGUUAAAUACAUUUCUUAUUUGUAUUUUUUCUAUUCAACAGAUAAACAUGCUUCAUUUGUCAGUACAGCUCACUUCCUCAGGAAAAGCACUGAAGGUUACGCUCUAAGAGAAUGCCAGUCGCCCACCAAAACGCUUGCUGUAAGACAUACGCUUAUACUUCAGGAACAGUAAAGGGAUUGGGACCAAUCUCAAUCAGACGUUGUGGGAAAGGGAUCCUCUUAGACUGAAGAGGAAGGGAAAUAAUUCAGUUGGCAUGGUGGCCAGUUUUGUCAUCCAGAGUUAACAUCCUGCUGUCAUGCACUAAUUUAAGUGGUUUUACACGCUACAGUGCAGUGUAAACCACGGAUGGGAAGCUGUUCAUGAGUCACAGGAACAGGUAGGCUCCCCGUGAACCCUGGAUGUUCGCAGCAUCCCACGGGGAGUAGGUCCCCACCCAGGCCAGGAGGUCUAAACCAGGAGCAGGAGAAGGCUGCAGGAGUGGUAAGUUCCCAACAGUAUUGCACAAGCUACUAUUGAAUUUUAUUUAGUGAAGUUAAUUUUUUUUUCCUAAGAAUCUUCAUUCACCAAGCCUCCUCCACACAUUACAGGGUAUUUUUUUCAAUUCAUAGGUGGGUGCAAAGUUUAAGGAUUAUAAAUGGGUUGUUUGCUACAGCUCAUGCAGCAAUCUGGCAGCAGAGUUAGGAGCAAGUUUGGCAUUCCCACUCACUUGGCUUUGUGCUUUAAUCAAACUUUAUAUAAGAUCAAGGAGGCCCAGGAACUGGCCGUUCUAUCUCUAAUGUCAGGAACUGAUUACAAAGGCACCAGUGGUUCUUGUUCUUGCCAAUACAGCUCCAGUCUGAUAGAAAAUUAUUUGACUGAGGGCUGGUUCAGAAAGGAGCCAUAAACUGAUAAUACCCACGUGACCACAGGAACCAAGAACUUAAUCUGUGAUGGUUAUUUCCCAAACUAAAUAUUUAAAUAAACUAACAUCUAAAAAAUAAUGAAAUUUAAUAAGAGAUAAGCAAGGUUAUAAAAGCUAUUCUCUCGUAGGCUGCAGGAAAUUUUGCUUCCAAAUCCUCUCAGCGUACAAGGGGAUUAAAAAGUCACUGUGACAGAAAUAGACAUUUUAACCCAAGAGCAGGUUUUCUCUUAAUAUCAAAAAGCAUUUCCUAUAGUGAGAAAUUGUCAACAGACCAAUGUAGUGGCAAAGCAGGGGUAGUUUAUUACAUUUGGAUGUCCUGCCAAUAUAUUUGCAUCUACUUGCAGCCUCCUGGUUGAUUUGCCACAAGGGAAGACUUAAGUCACUCAUCAUGACAGGUGGAUCUGUUAUCCAAUAAUCCAGGAGGAAUCAUGGACCCAGACACGACUUUAUUCUUGCUUUUUUCUUUUAAUAUGAAAAAGUCUUACUUUUCUGCUCUAAGAUUUCCAAAUCGCUAUUCCUCUAUUUCAAAAGUAAGCAGUCACCAUUAAUGUCUGCUGCAUCUUUCCUUUAUGUUCUUUAGACGCUCCAGAAACAACAUGUCGAGAAAAAAAAAAAAAAACCAUAACAAAGCAUUUUAGUCCCAUAACUGGGGAGUAGAGAUUGCAGUGAACCGCAGCCAGGCCGAGCAUCAGCCCGACCCUGCAGGCUGCCAGCUCUGUCAUCUGAGCUCAGGGAGGAAGAGGAGGAGCGGAGGCUGCAGCAGGUGCUGCGCUUGAAUUCACAAGCGCAGUGACCCUCCCUAGGAGCAUGGCAGGAAUUUCAAAUGGGAUUAGCCACCCGGACAAGAGAAAGGUCAUACUUGACAUUUCCACUGGAAAUUCUAAUGCAAAUAGACCUCUGAUACUCAUGACAUUUUUUCACACGCAUCUAACAGCCAUACAUAUGUAAAAGGAAAAUGAUAAAAUGUAAUGACUAAUUUAUGUAAAUCUCAUAAAGGCAAUAACACCAAGGGCUGAGCACAUAGAAACAUUAGUCAGGCAAAGGAGCACAUGAUUGUAUUCCUCCUUUUAUUUGCUACCAUUUUAAAUUGGUUCAUUUUGAUAGGGUUGUUAUUUGUUUAGUUUUCAAAGUGCUCAGUGCUGUACAAGGAAUAGGACAUAGAGUCCUCGCUCGUAGUAAGGAGCAUAGUGAUCUCUGGGCUUUAUUUUGAAUGGUUUUGGUUAUUGCAGUGAGGGUGGGAGGUGAUAGAGGCAGAGAGAAGUCAUCUGGGAAGCCAGUGAUUUUUGUAGCCUACCUCAGGCUUGAAUAUUUACACACUGUAAAAUCCUAGCUGAACACCCAACGAAAGAGUGAAUUUUUGGGAUUAGAUCCCAGCACAAUUCAAGUAGUGUACUCACAACAUGAAGAUUACAUGGAAAAUAGUUUUACAACAAAGCUUUUCUCACCUCAAGGAGCCUUAACAAGAGCACAAUCACUGUGACAUCAUCUCACACAGCUAUUUCCACGACAUAUCUUGAUAAGCAAGUUUCCUGUCGCAGCUGUCUUCUGUAGUCAUCAAAUUAGACAGAAAACAAGUACUUUGGUUAAUCUACCCAAAUUAAAAAUGCCGGUCGGAACGAUAGCAGGGCGGGGAGGGGGGAUAUUUAGGUUGUCCUGCUUUUGUUGUUGUUUUACACAGCAGACUACGCUGCUCAGCAAACCAUCAGAGGAGCGCUGUGGUAUCUGCACGUCUUCCAGUACAGGCAGGAAGAUAAGUCAAACCUAAAUAUAAACUGAGUAAAGAAAACCCAAUGCUGUCAGCGUCUUAUUCAAAGUUUUGCUUUCAGCACAAUCAAGAGCAGAUUCUACCCCGCUUACCGUCAUCACCAGUUGUAUUUCAAUACGUUUAUUCCUGCACUGUAACAUCAUUUCAAAGGGCAGUGCCUCAUUUUCCCCAGCUAGGGGGUGGGGAAAACAUUUCUUAAAGUGCUUAAAGCUUGUUUAUUUUUCUUAAGGCUAAUUACCUGCUCGCAAUGACUCAAUUUUGUUUAUUACGACUUUUAAAAUGACAAGUUCAUCUGCCACCGGAAAGCAGAGAUGCUUUAGUGACAAUGAAAGACCACAGUCCUGCAAGCACUUAUGCAUAUGCUUCACGUUUUGCAUGUAAAUAGUCCCAUUGACUAAAUCCCAGUUCUUUGAAAGGAAAGAAAAGACUGAAAGGCAAUCAUUGUUUUCCCAGGCAAACAGUGCUGGAGAAGAAAGGAACAAGUUAGGAAUAUAGAAAAUUAACUCAUUUCCUGUCUCCCAUCAUAUGCACACAUAUCCUGAAACGACUUCAGAGAAGUCCUAUGACAUCUAACAACGAUGAAACCAACAGGCUCCUGUAGCAGAUUGGUCUGAGAGCAGGUAGGACCCAGGUGGAGGCACCUGCCCCAGCUCCCUGCUGCCACCUUGGCUUGGCAACAUUCCUCACUGGGCCCAGGUUUCCAGCAGCUGCAGCCCAGUCAGGCAGGGAACAGAGCUCACAAGCUGCCUUCGUGACACAGAACACGCCCAAUCCACACCACAGACAUUCGUGUUAUUUACCAGAUGAAGGGGUGGCCUUGACAGAAUUAAAAAGCUGCUGAUGAAUCACUGAGUCCAAGAGAGCUAAUACAUAAUUUUUUAAAGGUUACUAUUCAAGGGAGCAGUGUAGUGCCCACUACUAACAAAGGGAUUGUGGUAACCAACAAAUUAUCCCCUGUAGACAAUUCUUCCAAAACUGGGUAGUGAUAGAAUCCCAAAGAAAAGCUCCAUCAGGGUAAAAAAAAAAUAAAAAAAAUAAAUUAAAAAACUCAAACUGAAAUACAAAGAAUAAAAACCUUGCAGAACAGUGAUCUUUCUCCUUUAACUUCUACAGGACUGGAAACCAGAUGUAUUUACUUUUUUUAAAAUUUAUUUAUUUUGCCAGACUGCUAAAGACUAAGCUGUCUUGAAUACAUAUUGAAAACUUAAUUCAAAAAACAACUUCCUUAAUUUUAGCUUUCGGAUCACUGAACAACCUACAGGACGCCAGCUUCUUUCCUGCUGUUUCUAAGCCAGUCCAGGUCAAGCUGAAGGAGAAAGGUAACUGGAAAGAUUCCCCGUUUCUAAAGCUAUCAAAACUGCUUUUUGGAAAAGGAUCAGUUAUUUCCACCAGGGCCUGAGAGCAUCUCCCUGAAAUAACUCCUCUGGCCAC